UUGCUAUAAUCAUGAAGGAUUACAACAUCCAGAAUACAGGUCAGGCUGCUUUUAUUGAUUCAUUUGCAAUGACAGCAAUAUGGCAGGAAAAAGUCCAAGAUUAAAGCACAGAUGAACCCAAUGGAUUAUGAAGUAAUUCUGGGAAUUAAUAAUUGUCACAACCACUGGACAUCAGUGGUGAUCUACCCACAAGACAAAAGAUCUUUUUUCUUGGAUCCACUGGGGGAGUCAAAGCAAGACAUCCAGAAAUGUUUGCAAAGCUCAAGCUAUG